GAGUUUGAUCGUGGCUCAGAGUGAACGCUGGCGGUAGGCCUAACACAUGCAAGUCGAACGGCAGCACAGAGGAGCUUGCUCCUUGGGUGGCGAGUGGCGGACGGGUGAGGAAUACAUCGGAAUCUACUCUGUCGUGGGGGAUAACGUAGGGAAACUUACGCUAAUACCGCAUACGACCUACGGGUGAAGCAGGGGAUCUUCGGACCUUGCGCGAUUGAAUGAGCCGAUGUCGGAUUAGCUAGUUGGCGGGGUAAAGGCCCACCAAGGCGACGAUCCGUAGCUGGUCUGAGAGGAUGAUCAGCCACACUGGAACUGAGACACGGUCCAGACUCCUACGGGAGGCAGCAGUGGGGAAUAUUGGACAAUGGGCGCAAGCCUGAUCCAGCCAUACCGCGUGGUGAAGAAGGCC
rnacentral:rRNA from 1 species